CCUACGGGAGGCAGCAGUGAGGAAUAUUGGUCAAUGGGCGGGAGCCUGAACCAGCCAAGCCGCGUGAGGGAAGAAGGUACAGCGUAUCGUAAACCUCUUUUGUCAGGGAACAAAGGCGGGGAUUAGUCCCCGGAUGAGGGUACCUGAAGAAAAAGCAUCGGCUAACUCCGUGCCAGCAGCCGCGGUAAUACGGCGGAUGCGGGCGUUAUCCGGAUUUAUUGGGUUUAAAGGGUGCGCAGGCGGCCUGUUAAGUCAGCGGGAAAAGCCCGGGGCUCAACCCCGGCGAGCCGUUGAAACUGGCGGGCUGGAGUUGGAGAGAGGUACGCGGAAUGCGCGGUGUAGCGGUGAAAUGCUUAGAUAUCGCGCAGAACCCCGAUUGCGAAGGCAGCGUACCGGCUCCACACUGACGCUGAGGCACGAAAGCGUGGGUAUCGAACAGGAUUAGAUACCCCUGUAGUC
rnacentral:rRNA from 1 species